AUAUUAGAAAGGUGCGCCGCAUCUUGAUUUAAUUUUGAACGAGUGGCGGACGGGUGAGUAACACGUGGGUAACCUGCCCUUAAGUGGGGGAUAACAUUUGGAAACAGAUGCUAAUACCGCAUAAAUCCAAGAACCGCAUGGUUCUUGGCUGAAAGAUGGCGUAAGCUAUCGCUUUUGGAUGGACCCGCGGCGUAUUAGCUAGUUGGUGAGGUAACGGCUCACCAAGGCAAUGAUACGUAGCCGAACUGAGAGGUUGAUCGGCCACAUUGGGACUGAGACACGGCCCAAACUCCUACGGGAGGCAGCAGUAGGGAAUCUUCCACAAUGGACGCAAGUCUGAUGGAGCAACGCCGCGUGAGUGAAGAAGGCUUUCGGGUCGUAAAACUCUGUUGUUGGAGAAGAAUGGUCGGCAGAGUAACUGUUGUCGGCGUGACGGUAUCCAACCAGAAAGCCACGGCUAACUACGUGCCAGCAGCCGCGGUAAUACGUAGGUGGCAAGCGUUAUCCGGAUUUAUUGGGCGUAAAGCGAGCGCAGGCGGUUUUUUAAGUCUGAUGUGAAAGCCCUCGGCUUAACCGAGGAAGUGCAUCGGAAACUGGGAAACUUGAGUGCAGAAGAGGACAGUGGAACUCCAUGUGUAGCGGUGAAAUGCGUAGAUAUAUGGAAGAACACCAGUGGCGAAGGCGGCUGUCUGGUCUGUAACUGACGCUGAGGCUCGAAAGCAUGGGUAGCGAACAGGAUUAGAUACCCUGGUAGUCCAUGCCGUAAACGAUGAAUGCUAGGUGUUGGAGGGUUUCCGCCCUUCAGUGCCGCAGCUAACGCAUUAAGCAUUCCGCCUGGGGAGUACGACCGCAAGGUUGAAACUCAAAGGAAUUGACGGGGGCCCGCACAAGCGGUGGAGCAUGUGGUUUAAUUCGAAGCAACGCGAAGAACCUUACCAGGUCUUGACAUCUUUUGAUCACCUGAGAGAUCAGGUUUCCCCUUCGGGGGCAAAAUGACAGGUGGUGCAUGGUUGUCGUCAGCUCGUGUCGUGAGAUGUUGGGUUAAGUCCCGCAACGAGCGCAACCCUUAUGACUAGUUGCCAGCAUUUAGUUGGGCACUCUAGUAAGACUGCCGGUGACAAACCGGAGGAAGGUGGGGAUGACGUCAAAUCAUCAUGCCCCUUAUGACCUGGGCUACACACGUGCUACAAUGGAUGGUACAACGAGUUGCGAGACCGCGAGGUCAAGCUAAUCUCUUAAAGCCAUUCUCAGUUCGGACUGUAGGCUGCAACUCGCCUACACGAAGUCGGAAUCGCUAGUAAUCGCGGAUCAGCACGCCGCGGUGAAUACGUUCCCGGGCCUUGUACACACCGCCCGUCACACCAUGAGAGUUUGA
rnacentral:rRNA from 1 species